GGAAGGAUCAUUAUUGAAUGAACUUGGUGUGGUUGUUGCUGGCCCUCUCGGGGGCAUGUGCACACCCAUCAUCCUCAUCUCUCCACCUGUGCACCUCUUGUAGACCUGGAUAGACUUUCCGAGGCAACUCGGUCGGGAAGAUUGCUGCUCUCUUGUGGGCCAGCUUUCUUUGCAUGUCCAGGCCUAUGUUUUUCAUAUACCCCUAUAGAAUGUAACAGAAUGUAUCAUUGGGCCUUGUGCCUAUAAACCUUAUACAACUUUCAGCAACGGAUCUCUUGGCUCUCGCAUCGAUGAAGAACGCAGCGAAAUGCGAUAAGUAAUGUGAAUUGCAGAAUUCAGUGAAUCAUCGAAUCUUUGAACGCACCUUGCGCUCCUUGGUAUUCCGAGGAGCAUGCCUGUUUGAGUGUCAUUAAAUUCUCAACCUUAUUAACUUUUGUUGAUAAUGGAUUGGAUGUGGGGGUUUCUUUUGCUGGCUUCUUCACAGAGAUCAGCUCCCCUUAAAUGCAUUAGCUGGUGCCCUGCGUGGACCAUCUAUUGGUGUGAUAAUUAUCUACGCCGUGGAUGUCUGCAAUCAUAUGGGUUUUGCACUGCUUCUAACCGUCUGUUCAUUCGGACAACACAUGACAAUUUGACCUCAAAUCAAGUAGGACUACCCGCUGAACUUAAGCAUAUCAAUAAGCGGAGGAAAAGAAACUAACAAGGAUUCCCCUAGUAACUGCGAGUGAAGCGGGAAAAGCUCAAAUUUAAAAUCUGGCGGUCUCCGGCCGUUCGAGUUGUAAUCUAGAGAAGUGUUAUCCGCGCUGGACCGUGUACAAGUCUCCUGGAAUGGAGCGUCAUAGAGGGUGAGAAUCCCGUCUUUGACACGGACUGCCAGGGCUUUGUGAUGCGCUCUCAAAGAGUCGAGUUGUUUGGGAAUGCAGCUCAAAAUGGGUGGUA
rnacentral:sRNA from 1 species